rnacentral:rRNA from 1 species
GUGGGGAAUAUUGGGCAAUGGGCGCAAGCCUGACCCAGCAACGCCGCGUGAGGGAAGAAGGCUUUCGGGUUGUAAACCUCUGUCCUUGGUGACGAAAAAAAUGACGGUAGCCAAGGAGGAAGCCCCGGCUAACUACGUGCCAGCAGCCGCGGUAAUACGUAGGGGGCGAGCGUUGUCCGGAAUUACUGGGCGUAAAGGGUGCGUAGGUGGCCUUUUAAGUUGGAUGUGAAAUCCCCGGGCUUAACUUGGGUGGUGCAUCUAAUACUGGAGGGCUAGAGGGCAGGAGAGGGAAGCGGAAUUCCUAGUGUAGCGGUGAAAUGCGUAGAUAUUAGGAGGAACACCAGUGGCGAAGGCGGCUUUCUGGACUGUAACUGACACUGAGGCACGAAAGCGUGGGGAGCAAACAGGAUUAGAAACCCGUGUAGUCC